AGAGUUUGAUCCUGGCUCAGAACGAACGUUAGCGGCGCGCUUAACACAUGCAAGUCGAACGAGAAAGCACCUUCGGGUGUAAGUAAAGUGGCGCACGGGUGCGUAACACGUGGGUAAUCUGCCCUUUGGUGGGGGACAACAUCUGGAAACGGAUGCUAAUACCGCAUAAGUCGGCUUCGGCCGGGAAAGGUGGCUUCGGCUAUCGCCAGAGGAUGAGCCCGCGGCCCAUCAGCUAGUUGGUAAGGUAAAAGCUUACCAAGGCUACGACGGGUAGCUGGUCUGAGAGGAUGAUCAGCCACACUGGAACUGAGACACGGUCCAGACUCCUACGGGAGGCAGCAGUGGGGAAUAUUGCGCAAUGGGCGAAAGCCUGACGCAGCGACGCCGCGUGGGUGAUGAGAAGGCUCUUGGGUCGUAAAGCUCUGUCAACAGGGAAGAAACAGUUCGUGGUUAAUAGCUGCGAGCCUUGACGGUACCUGUGAAGGAAGCACCGGCUAACUCCGUGCCAGCAGCCGCGGUAACACGGGGGGUGCAAGCGUUAUUCGGAAUUAUUGGGCGUAAAGCGCAUGUAGGCGGAAAAGUCAGUCAGAUGUGAAAGCCCGGGGCUCAACCCCGGAAGUGCAUUUGAAACAGCUUUUCUUGAGUACUGGAGAGGAAAGUGGAAUUCCUGGUGUAGAGGUGAAAUUCGUAGAUAUCAGGAGGAACACCGGUGGCGAAGGCGACUUUCUGGACAGAUACUGACGCUGAGAUGCGAAGGCGUGGGGAGCGAACAGGAUUAGAUACCCUGGUAGUCCACGCAGUAAACGUUGUUCACUAGGUGUAGCGGGUAUUGACCCCUGCUGUGCCGCAGCUAACGCAUUAAGUGAACCGCCUGGGGAGUACGGUCGCAAGAUUAAAACUCAAAGGAAUUGACGGGGGCCCGCACAAGCGGUGGAGCAUGUGGUUUAAUUCGACAACGCGCAGAACCUUACCUAGGCUUGACAUCCUGGAAAUCUUUUAGAGAUAGAAGAGUGCCCUUCGGGGAAUCCAGUGACACAGGUGCUGCAUGGCUGUCGUCAGCUCGUGUUGUGAGAUGUUGGGUUAAGUCCCGCAACGAGCGCAACCCUCGUCACUAGUUACCAUCAUUUCGGCUGGGCACUUUAGCGAGACUGCCGGUGUUAAACCGGAGGAAGGUGGGGAUGACGUCAAGUCCUCAUGGCCCUUAUGCCUAGGGCUACACACGUGCUACAAUGGCAAGUACAGAGGGCAGCGAACUCGCGAGGGUAAGCGAAUCCCAAAAAGCUUGUCUCAGUACGGAUUGGAGUCUGCAACUCGACUCCAUGAAGUCGGAAUCGCUAGUAAUCGCGGAUCAGCACGCCGCGGUGAAUACGUUCCCGGGCCUUGUACACACCGCCCGUCACACCAUGGGAGUUGAUUACUCCAGAAGUCGCUGAGCUAACCUUCGGGGGAGGCAGGCGCCCAAGGAGUGGUUGGUAACUGGGGUGAAGUGGUAACAAGGUAACCA
rnacentral:rRNA from 1 species